GAGGACAGCACAAAAUAAGAAGAAAACCCGGACGGCUGAUUAUCAAACUUGGUAUUGCUGCUGUGCAGUUUGAUACCCAAGCCCUGGGUUUACCUUUUAUGCCGCUCCAGCUUAGACAUCAGAGGUGUGAGAGCUGCUUUGAGUUACAGAUCUUCAAACAAUAAGUCAAAACAACAAAAAAAAAAAUCAAUCCCCUCCGGUCCCUGGGUGCAGUUAUGGAAAGAUAAAAGAGAAAAGUGAAGUUAUGCUAAAGUAGAUACAAGGAGAGGAGAGCAGAUAGGCUAGGGAGAAAAACAUGGAGGACAAGGCUGAGGUGAAGUGGGCCUCUUGUGAGCCAACAUCAAUGGACUUUUAUCUUAUCACAAAGUUAGAGGCUUGGUUGCCAGUUCCCUUCAAACUGGAUCCAGUCUGAUCCCAGGCUGCCCAGACCAGCGCCUUCUGUAAAGUUGCUCCCCCCACCCCCAUCUUAAAUGCAAUCAACUUAGAAUGAAUGAGGUUACCUUCCAUCCAAUGCAUAAAACUCAGCCACUGACUUCAGUGGCAAAUUAGAGGUUUUGAUAAUCCCUUGGCAUUUUGAAUAUAAAUCGAGGGGGGUAGGUCUGUGUAUUUUGUGUCUGUGUUUAUGGAAAGCUGAGGGUUAUGCGAAGUGUCAGGCAAAUCUCUACACCGUGUGUCCAUUCUGUGGCCAGGUUUCUAAUAGCCAGGAAGCCCCAUGCAUUCUUUUGGAGGUAAGACGUCACCUGUGCUCGCCCUGUUUCUUGUGGCUAAUAUCAGGUAUGUCUGGAAAAUAAUAACCAUUGGAAGCACUGUUUUUUGAUACACGAGCCAGCAUGCAUUUUGAUGAGUCCAAGACAGUAGAAAACCAAAAAGGCUCACAUUUU
rnacentral:sRNA from 1 species